UGGGGAAUUUUGGACAAUGGGCGCAAGCCUGAUCCAGCCAUGCCGCGUGCGGGAAGAAGGCCUUCGGGUUGUAAACCGCUUUUGUCAGGGAAGAAACGCUCUGGGCUAAUACCCUGGGGUAAUGACGGUACCUGAAGAAUAAGCACCGGCUAACUACGUGCCAGCAGCCGCGGUAAUACGUAGGGUGCAAGCGUUAAUCGGAAUUACUGGGCGUAAAGCGUGCGCAGGCGGUUAUGCAAGACAGAUGUGAAAUCCCCGGGCUUAACCUGGGAACUGCACUUGUGACUGCAUAGCUGGAGUACGGCAGAGGGGGAUGGAAUUCCGCGUGUAGCAGUGAAAUGCGUAGAUAUGCGGAGGAACACCGAUGGCGAAGGCAGUCCCCUGGGCCUGUACUGACGCUCAUGCACGAAAGCGUGGGGAGCAAACAGGAUUAGAUACCCAUGUAGUCCCUGAGCGGGCUGGCAAGGCGCAU
rnacentral:rRNA from 1 species